UGAGGAAUAUUGGUCAAUGGGCGCGAGCCUGAACCAGCCAAGUCGCGUGAGGGAUGACGGCCCUACGGGUUGUAAACCUCUUUUGUCGGGGAGCAAAUUCCGCCACGUGUGGCGGAGUCGAGAGUACCCGAAGAAAAAUGCAUCGGCUAACUCCGUGCCAGCAGCCGCGGUAAUACGGAGGAUGCGAGCGUUAUCCGGAUUUAUUGGGUUUAAAGGGUGCGUAGGCGGACUGUCAAGUCAGCGGUAAAAUACGGGGGCUCAACCUCCGCCCGCCGUUGAAACUGACGGUCUUGAGUGGGCGAGAAGUAUGCGGAAUGCGUGGUGUAGCGGUGAAAUGCAUAGAUAUCACGCAGAACUCCGAUUGCGAAGGCAGCGUACCGGCGCCCAACUGACGCUGAAGCACGAAAGCGUGGGUAUCGAACAGGAUUAGAUACC
rnacentral:rRNA from 1 species